UUUCCGAUGUUUUUAUUGAUACCGAUGUUAAGCGAUGCAUCGAUGUUUGACAGAACAUCGGGCGUUAAAUUUCACAACAUUGCAGAACAUAUGGAUACACUGCCACAUAGAAAAAUUCGCGAAUUUGUUUUAUUUUUUUACCCUGUGUUUGCAAUGCCAAAAAUAACAACAAAGACAAGCUUUUGCUGGAGGCACUUUACAAAAAUUGAUGGAAAUAGCGCAAAAUGCAACAUUUGCAACAAAGUUUUGAAGACUGCGGGUAACACGACCAACAUGAAGGACCACCUGCGGUCCAUUCAUAAAAUAGAACAAAAUGUUGAAGAAA